rnacentral:rRNA from 1 species
CAGCCGCCGCGGGAAUACGAAGGGUGCAAGCGUUACUCGGAAUUACUGGGCGUAAAGCGUGCGUAGGUGGUGGUUUAAGUCCGUUGUGAAAGCCCUGGGCUCAACCUGGGAAUUGCAGUGGAUACUGGGUCACUAGAGUGUGGUAGAGGAUAGUGGAAUUUCCGGUGUAGCAGUGAAAUGCGUAGAGAUCGGAAGGAACAUCUGUGGCGAAGGCGACUAUCUGGGCCAACACUGACACUGAGGCACGAAAGCGUGGGGAGCAAACAGGAUUAGAGACCCCUGUAGUCCCUGUCUCUUAUAA